rnacentral:lncRNA from 1 species
CCAGGAGUCAGGGCUGGAGGGCGCAGACACGGAAUCCAAGCGUGAGGAUCUCCCCUGGAACCUCACCCUCACAGCCUCUAAG